UACGAAGGGGGCUAGCGUUGCUCGGAAUCACUGGGCGUAAAGGGCGCGUAGGCGGCCGGCCAAGUCGGGGGUGAAAGCCUGUGGCUCAACCACAGAAUGGCCCUCGAUACUGGCUGGCUCGAGACCGGAAGAGGUUGGUGGAAUUGCGAGUGUAGAGGUGAAAUUCGUAGAUAUUCGCAAGAACACCAGUGGCGAAGGCGGCUGUCUGGUCCGGUUCUGACGCUGAGGCGCGAAAGCGUGGGGAGCAAACAGG
rnacentral:rRNA from 1 species